CGAUUUCGUCGCAUCACUGUCAAGCCACUGUAAUUAGGAUAGUUUCGGAAAUAAAUUAGAUGUAAAUAAAUUGAAGAAUAAGUUUUAAAAAAAAUAUUAAAAAAAAACUUGAAGGACCGUUUAUGCUCACUGCGCUCCAAUAGGCCUUUGACAACGAUAUCCCCUCAGAUAAAGUAUAUCAAAAACUCUUAUCUGUUGG
rnacentral:lncRNA from 1 species